CAAAAGGCAGGUUAUCUUUUCUUCCUUAAAGUCCAGUUUUCCAAAGGUACCAGCACACCUACCACUGCAGGAGCAGGACCCAAACCCCACAUUCUCUCUUGAGUUGAGGAAAUCACUUACACCUAAAGCAGAGCCCUGCUGCUCUAGAAUGAUGUGAGACGGUUUACUAUGAAAAAGAUCUUCCUUUUCUCCCCUUUGCCCAUUGGAUCGUACCUGAUGCUUUCGAAAGCACUGCCUGGGGCAAAGGCUUGGGAUCUCUGGAUCCAAAGAGUUGCAGAUAUGGUGGCCCCUCUCCAGCCUGCCCCAAAGCUUCCCUACAUACCAGCACAGAUUUUCACUCUGUAUGACUGAUUUACUCAAAGUCCAACCCACAUGGGGCAGAGGGCUUUGUGCUGGCUUUCUACACAACAGGGUAUUUGGUUCAGAAAAGAUCACUGUGGACAGACAGGAGGCUUUUUCUUCACCUUUCAUUUUAGAAGAAAGAAAUCUGAAACCUGCUGCACAGUUGGGACUGAUGAAGGCAGAAAAAACGUGUGGUCAACCAGUUACUGUGCAGAGAACCAAAGCCACCGCAAAGAUCUGAUGAAUACUGUGGACAGAGUCACUAUGCAGGCUGGUGGGGCAAGUGAUGUUUUGGCACACACAGACAGCUUCCAAAGGAUGCACUUCCUCUCAUGCGGGGAGAACCUCUGGCUUGGAAGUCGGGGGCUAUGUCUGUUCUUCCUGCCUCUUGGAGCGAUGGAAGCUGUGAACCUAACUGCAAUACCAGCAGCGGGAAGUGAUCUACCUGCCCUCUCUUCCAGUAGUAAAAAGUCAUGGUUCUCUGGUUUAAUGAAUGUGUGCCUGCUGUCAUUCCCUGCAUCAGGGCUGAACCAAGAAUCCAGCUCACUGCUAAGGAGAGCUGUGCUGCUUGAGA